CAGCAGCCACGGGAAUACGUAGGGUGCAAGCGUUAAUCGGAAUUACUGGGCGUAAAGCGUGCGCAGGCGGUGUUGUAAGACUGAUGUGAAAUCCCCGGGCUCAACCUGGGAACUGCAUUGGUGACUGCAACGCUGGAGUGCGGCAGAGGGGGAUGGAAUUCCGCGUGUAGCAGUGAAAUGCGUAGAUAUGCGGGGGAACACCGAUGGCGAAGGCAAUCCCCUGGGCCUGCACUGACGCUCAUGCACGAAAGCGUGGGGAGCAAACAGGAUUAGAUACCCGAGUAGUCCCUGUCUCUUAUAC
rnacentral:rRNA from 1 species